rnacentral:misc_RNA from 1 species
AGAUUUAGUUGAGUUGAGUUGAGUGGAGUUGAGUUGGAGAUUCUUACAAUUCAUUUUGAACUCAAGAGGAUGAUAUUCAGAGAAGGAAAAAGCUUUAUGUUCCACUUGUGGAGGACAAGAAUAGCAAUAUGAGAAUGCUCAAGAUAUCCAGUGUUGAUGAUCUGAUUUCAAAUUCAAUGAAUAUUCUUGAACCUGCCUUGGUAGAUUCUGAGGGAAAUCAUCGCGAAGAUGGUAUAAAGUUCAUUUUUUUCUUGUAGUUUCACAAUGCUUAAAAAGUGAUGAUUUGGUGAUCUUGAAAUUUGUGAUUCAUUUCUCAUGUGGUUGGUGAAGGCUAUUAUUUAUCUGUUGGUCAUAUUUGAUACAGUUAUGCAGGCACGUGAGUCAGUUGACUUGGUCAUCCUACCUGGUAAAUCAUCUUUACAAUUUCUAUCUUCUGUCUAUUAACACUUUACACUCGCUAUGUAAUUUUUUGCCGCUCCUUCUAUUAUCUCAUUUUAUUUCCCUUUAUGCCAGGUCUUGCAUUUGACAGAUCUGGAAAUCGUUUGGACUGUAGUGGAGGGUGGGUUAAUGCUUCUUAGCCAUGGGUUUGCCACGUUCCCUUUUAGGUUUUAUAAAAUUAGAGUUUCUGGGUUUUUAUUCUUAUAUAGCAGCAUUAUGACACUUCUGUGCGUAUUAAUAUGUUAGGUUAAGAAAUUAAGAUAUGGCAGUUUUGCCUGUAUUGAAUUGUUUUUUGACAGGCAAGAAUAGGAAUUCAUCUACAAAAUAACAGUCAUCAUAGAGCUAAUAGUUGAUUAAUUCAUAUUUUUUAUGAUGAUCGGUAGACUUGAGUGAGUGUAAUCAGGGGCGGAGGGAGGGGGGGGGGGGGACUACGGGGAGCCUUGGUUCCCCCAACCCUUCUAAAUUUUUCCUGUAUACAUAUAUAUAUUUAGAGAAAAAAUUAAUUUAUUUUAGGUAAAAUUAUUUUAUUUUAGCUAUUAGCCUUCUCAAAAAAAUAAUUAUAUUAUUUUAUUAAGAUAUUCAAA